GUGAGGAAUAUUGGUCAAUGGACGGAAGUCUGAACCAGCCAUGCCGCGUGAAGGAUGAAGGCGUUCUGCGUUGUAAACUUCUUUUAUCAGAGAAGAAACCACUGAUUUCUAUUAGUGUUGACGGUAUCUGAUGAAUAAGCACCGGCUAACUCCGUGCCAGCAGCCGCGGUAAUACGGAGGGUGCAAGCGUUAUCCGGAUUUACUGGGUUUAAAGGGUGUGUAGGCGGGCUAUUAAGUCAGGGGUGAAAUCCCGGGGCUCAACCUCGGAACUGCCUUUGAUACUAUUAGUCUUGAAUUAUGUUGAGGUUGGCGGAAUAUAACAUGUAGCGGUGAAAUGCAUAGAUAUGUUAUAGAACACCGAUUGCGAAGGCAGCUGGCUAAACAUAUAUUGACGCUGAGGCACGAAAGCGUGGGUAGCGAACAGGAUUAGAAACCCUGGUAGUCC
rnacentral:rRNA from 1 species